GGUUUGAUUCUGGCUCAGAUUGAACGCUGGCCGGGAUGCUUUACAUGCAAGUCGAACGGCAGCGCUUCGGACUUCGGUCUGGUGGCGAGUGGCGAACGGGUGAGUAAUGUAUCGGAACGUGCCCUAGUAGCGGGGAUAACUACGCGAAAGCGUAGCUAAUGCCGCAUACGCCCUUCGGGGAAAGCGAAGGCCUUCGAGGCUCGCACUAUUAAACGGCCGAUAUCGGAUUAGCUAGUUGGUGGGGUAACGGCUCACCAAGGCGACGAUCCGUAGCUGGUUUGAAGGACGACCAGCCACACUGGGACUGAGACACGGCCCAGACUCCUACGGGAGGCAGCAGUAGAGGAAUUUGGAUAAUAAGGGGAAACCCUGAUCCAGCCAUCCCGCGUGUGCGAUGAAACCCCUUCGGGUUAUGCUUCGCUUUUGGCGGGAAAGAAACGGCACGGGGAUAAUACCCGUGCAACUGACAGUCUGCAGAAUAAGCACCGGCUAACUACGUGCCAGCAGCCGCGUGCCAGCCCAGCAGGUGCAAGCAGUCAACAGAUUACUGGGCGUAAAGCGUGCGCAGGUUCGGAAAGAAAGAUGUGAAAUCCCAGAGCUUAACUUUGGAACUGCAUUUUUAACUACGAGCUAGAGUGUGUCAGAGGGAGGUGGAAUUCCGAUGUAGCAGUGGAAAUGCGUAGAUAUGCGGAGGAACACCGAUGGCGAAGAGCAUACUCGCAAGGAUAACACUGACGCUCAUGCACGAAAGCGUGGGGAGCAAACAGGAUUAGAUACCCUGGUAGUCCACGCCCUAAACGAUGUCACUUUAGCUGUUGGGGCCUUCGGGCCUUGGUAGCGCAGCUAACGCGUCGAAGUUGACCGCCUGGGAAGUACAGUCGCAAGAUUAAAGCUGAGAAUUGACAGGGACCUGCAAGCGGUGGAUGAUGUGGACCAAUUCGAUGCAACGCGAAAAACCUUACCUACCCUUGACAUGUCUGGAAUCCCGAAGAGAUUUGGGAGUGCUCAUAAGAACGGAACACAGGUGCUGCAUGGCUGUCGUCAGCUCCGUGUCGUGAGAUGUUGGGUUAAGUCCCGCAACGGCGCAACCCUUGUCAUUAGUUGCUGCGAAAGGCGCUCUAAUGAGACUGCCGGUGACAAACCGGAGGAAGGUGGGGAUGACGUCAAGUCCUCAUGGCCCUUAUGGGUAAAGACUGCGUCGCCACAAUGGUCGGGACAGAGGGUCAACCAACCGCGAGGGAAUGUCGGCGAUCGUAGUCCGGAUCAUGAUCUGCAACUCGACUGCCAUUGAUCGAAUCGCUAGUAAUCGCGGAUCAACGCUGUCGCGGUGAAUACGUUCCGGGUCUUGUACACCGCCCGUCACACCAUGGGAGUGGGUUUUACCAAGUAGUUAGCCUAACCGUAAGGAGGGCGAUUACCACGGUAAGUUCGCGACUGGGGUAAAUCGUAACUAAGGUA
rnacentral:rRNA from 1 species